rnacentral:rRNA from 1 species
CUUAAAGACUAGCCUGCACAUCACAUCAUAAAUUACUCCACACAAAUCAAACCAUUUGACAAACCAAGUAUAUGAGAUAGAACCGUACCUCCAGCGCAAUAGCCUAAGCCGUACCACAAGGGAACCAUGAAAGACAACUAAACAAAUCAAGCACGACACAGCAGGAGUGAUACCCCGUACCUUUUGCAUCAUGAUUUAGCCAGCCAUCUACCCACAAAGUGCCCUAUGCUGGUCACCCCGAACCCAGACGAGCUACCUAAAAGCAAUCACCAAGGAUCAACCCA